UACGACAACGACUAGCUUCAGACGUCCAUAUCUAGGGAGACUUUCGAUUUCAUCGAAAGGGUGCCAUUGUAGAAGAGGAAACCACAGAUUAUGACGACGACGACUACUAUGCCAACGAUGACCCAUCUCGGAGUAUCCCACCAUGAAAUGUUGUCGUCGUUGGACAAUGCCAGAUUUGGAACAAAUGAAGGGGGGGAGUACUGGUAGCCCGGACAGUUCUGUGGACAGUUACUGUUCUCCAUCGAGAAAACUCUCUGUAGUUCCACGCAAGUGAUGAGUUUACAAACAUACUUUGAAGCAUCAAUUCAUACUAGAAAAAGAAGUAGUUCUUCAAAAAGAGGAUGGUACUUUGUCAGACAAGAAACACUUUUUGAUCACAUAGAUCGAGAAGAUUGUAUAACCAGAGCACGAGAGCGAGAUGAUUGAAUAAUAUAAAUCGAAGACUUGAAGGAGGAGCUGGCGCAUACCUUAUCAAGAAGAACUGAGCAAACCAGUGCGUGAUGUUCUUGGUAUGAUUCUCACAAC
rnacentral:lncRNA from 1 species